UGCAGUCGAACGGAAACGAUACUAGCUUGCUAGUAGGCGUCGAGUGGCGGACGGGUGAGUAACGCGUAGGAAUCUGCCUGAUAGUGGGGGAUAGCCCGAAGAAAUUCGGAUUAAUACCGCAUAAUCUAUUCGUAGUAAAGUGGGGGACUUUCGAGCCUCACGCUAUCAGAUGAGCCUGCGUAAGAUUAGCUAGUUGGUAGGGUAAAAGCCUACCAAGGCUACGAUCUUUAGCUGGUCUGAGAGGAUGAUCAGCCACAUCGGGACUGAGACACGGCCCGAACUCCUACGGGAGGCAGCAGUGGGGAAUAUUGGACAAUGGGGGCAACCCUGAUCCAGCAAUACCGCGUGUGUGAAGAAGGCCUGAGGGUUGUAAAGCACUUUCAAUUGUGAAGAAAAGUUAACGGUUAAUAACCGUUAGCCUUGACGUUAACUUUAGAAGAAGCACCGGCUAACUCCGUGCCAGCAGCCGCGGUAAUACGGAGGGUGCAAGCGUUAAUCGGAAUUACUGGGCGUAAAGCGUGCGUAGGCGGUUUAUUAAGUCAGAUGUGAAAGCCCCGGGCUUAACCUGGGAACUGCAUUUGAAACUGGUCAACUAGAGUAUGGUAGAGGAAAGUGGAAUUUCUGGUGUAGCGGUGAAAUGCGUAGAUAUCAGAAGGAACAUCAAUGGCGAAGGCAGCUUUCUGGACCAAUACUGACGCUGAGGUACGAAAGCGUGGGUAGCAAACAGGAUUAGAUACCCUGGUAGUCCACGCCGUAAACGAUGAUAACUAGCCGUUGGGGGGAUUUACCCUUUAGUGGCGAAGCUAACGCGUUAAGUUAUCCGCCUGGGGAGUACGGCCGCAAGGUUAAAACUCAAAGGAAUUGACGGGACCCGCACAAGCGGUGGAGCAUGUGGUUUAAUUCGAUGCAACGCGAGAACCUUACCUGGUCUUGACAUCCUGCGAACUUUCUAGAAAUAGAUGGUGCCUUCGG
rnacentral:rRNA from 1 species